GCUUACGGCCGUACCACCCUGAGAACGCCCGAUCUCGUCUGAUCUCGGAAGCUAAGCAGGGUCGGGCCUGAUUAGUACUCGGAUGGGAGACCGCCUGGGAAUACCAGGUGCUGUAAACU
rnacentral:rRNA from 1 species